UACUUAGUGGCGGACGGGUGAGUAACGCGUGGGUAACCUGCCUUACACUGGGGGAUAACACUUAGAAAUAGGUGCUAAUACCGCAUAAGCGCACGAAGUCGCAUGGAUUUGUGUGAAAAACUCCGGUGGUGUAAGAUGGACCCGCGUCUGAUUAGCUUGUUGGCGGGGUAACGGCCCACCAAGGCGACGAUCAGUAGCCGGCCUGAGAGGGUGGACGGCCACAUUGGGACUGAGACACGGCCCAAACUCCUACGGAAGGCAGCAG
rnacentral:rRNA from 1 species